GGAUCCAGACUUUGAUUAUGGCUCAGGAUGAACGCUAGCUACAGGCUUAACACAUGCAAGUCGAGGGGAAACGACAUUGAAAGCUUGCUUUUGAUGGGCGUCGACCGGCGCACGGGUGAGUAACGCGUAUCCAACCUGCCCACCACUUGGGGAUAACCUUGCGAAAGUAAGACUAAUACCCAAUGACGUCUCUAGAAGACAUCUGAAGGAGAUUAAAGAUUUAUCGGUGAUGGAUGGGGAUGCGUCUGAUUAGCUUGUUGGCGGGGUAACGGCCCACCAAGGCGACGAUCAGUAGGGGUUCUGAGAGGAAGGUCCCCCACAUUGGAACUGAGACACGGUCCAAACUCCUACGGGAGGCAGCAGUGAGGAAUAUUGGUCAAUGGACGAGAGUCUGAACCAGCCAAGUAGCGUGCAGGAUGACGGCCCUAUGGGUUGUAAACUGCUUUUAUAAGGGAAUAAAGUGAGUCUCGUGAGACUUUUUGCAUGUACCUUAUGAAUAAGGACCGGCUAGUUCCGUGCCAGCAGCCGCGGUAAUACGGAAGGUCCGGGCGUUAUCCGGAUUCAUUGGGUUUAAAGGGAGCGUAGGCCGGAGAUUAAGCGUGUUGUGAAAUGUAGACGCUCAACGUCUGCACUGCAGCGCGAACUGGUUUCCUUGAGUACGCACAAAGUGGGCGGAAUUCGUGGUGUAGCGGUGAAAUGCUUAGAUACCACGAAGAACUCCGAUUGCGAAGGCAGCUCACUGGAGCGCAACUGACGCUGAAGCUCGAAAGUGCGGGUAUCGAACAGGAUUAGAUACCCUGGUAGUCCGCACGGUAAACGAUGGAUGCCCGCUGUUGGUCUGAAUAGGUCAGCGGCCAAGCGAAAGCAUUAAGCAUCCCACCUGGGGAGUACGCCGGCAACGGUGCAACUCAAAGGAAUUGACGG
rnacentral:rRNA from 1 species